rnacentral:rRNA from 1 species
CAGCCGCCACGGGAAUGCGUAGGUGGCAAGCGUUGUCCGGAAUUAUUGGGCGUAAAACGCGCGCAGGCGGAUCGGUCAGUCUGUCUUAAAGGUUCGGGGCUUAACCCCGUGAUGGGAUGGAAACUGCCAAUCUAGAGCAUCGGAGAGGAAAGUGGAAUUCCUAGUGUAGCGGUGAAAUGCGUAGAUACUAGGAAGAACACCAGUGGCGAAGGCGACUUUCUGGACGAAAACUGACGCUGAGGCGCGAAAGCCAGGGGAGCGAACGGGAUUAGAUACCCCCGUAGUCCCUGUCUCUUAUACA